rnacentral:rRNA from 1 species
CGCAGGGCGGGUGCUAUACAUGCAGUCGAGCGAAUCGAUGGGAGCUUGCUCCCUGAGAUUAGCGGCGGACGGGUGAGUAACACGUGGGCAACCUGCCUAUAAGACUGGGAUAACUUCGGGAAACCGGAGCUAAUACCGGAUACGUUCUUUUCUCGCAUGAGAGAAGAUGGAAAGACGGUUUACGCUGUCACUUAUAGAUGGGCCCGCGGCGCAUUAGCUAGUUGGUGAGGUAAUGGCUCACCAAGGCGACGAUGCGUAGCCGACCUGAGAGGGUGAUCGGCCACACUGGGACUGAGACACGGCCCAGACUCCUACGGGAGGCAGCAGUAGGGAAUCUUCCGCAAUGGACGAAAGUCUGACGGAGCAACGCCGCGUGAACGAAGAAGGCCUUCGGGUCGUAAAGUUCUGUUGUUAGGGAAGAACAAGUACCAGAGUAACUGCUGGUACCUUGACGGUACCUAACCAGAAAGCCACGGCUAACUACGUGCCAGCAGCCGCGGUAAUACGUAGGUGGCAAGCGUUGUCCGGAAUUAUUGGGCGUAAAGCGCGCGCAGGUGGUUCCUUAAGUCUGAUGUGAAAGCCCACGGCUCAACCGUGGAGGGUCAUUGGAAACUGGGGAACUUGAGUGCAGAAGAGGAAAGUGGAAUUCCAAGUGUAGCGGUGAAAUGCGUAGAGAUUUGGAGGAACACCAGUGGCGAAG